CUACCAAGCACUUUGAACAAGCAUCUGACCAAAAGGUGUGGAGACUACGAAUCAACAAGAUUUCUUGCAGUAUCAAUGCUGCUGGAUCCUCGGUUUAAAAAAGUAGCCUUUGGCAUGGAGACAAAUGCAGAGAUGGCUGUUUGAGCUUUGACAUCCGAGGCCAGCCAACUGAAUGCUGUAGAAUGCCACCCAGGGGCAACAACUUCAGUUGCACCACUCACACAUCAACAAACCAGGGCUAGUUGUGUGUGGUCUGAUUUUGAUGUGAAGGUGAGACAGCAAAAAACAACAACAUGGAUAUCGUAACUGAAGUGAAAAUGCACCUCUCCCAGCCAAAUGUCAACAGAAUGUGUUCAGCAUUGCACUUCUGGCAUGAACAAGGACAAAAGUUCCCAAACAGACU